rnacentral:ncRNA from 1 species
UGAAUCCGCGCGGGAGAGUCCCCAGCCGUACGUCAGCAGUACGACGUCGCCGGGGCGCCGAAGGAGCAAGUCCCUCCCUUGAAUCUCUCAGGCCCCGUUACCGCGCGGGCGAG